CUAUCAACUGUAGAAAUACAUUUUGCCCUUUAGAAAUACUAACAUCCGGUGUUCGGGAUGUUACCCUAAAAAAAAAGGUUUGAGAGAGAGAAACUUUCAUCGGUGUUUUACUUUGACAUCCGGUUCGCUCCGGCAAGGUAGUCCGGUAGUAUAAACUGGCUUCAAUCCGUCCAACACCGGCUUCUUAUGCGUGGGUUUGGCUCGGGUUUUGUUUCCGUCAACGACCGUUUUCUUUGACGGUGAUGGACGACUUUGCUUCGGGCAUGAGUUGGCCCCCUCGGCGAUUUCAUGUUCCUGCUUCCGGCAUGAGUUGGCCCCCUCGGCGAUGUCAUGUCCGGCUUUGCUUCUGGCAUGCGUUGGCCUCCUCGGCAACGUUAUGUUCGGCUUUGACUCCGGUAGGCGUUGGCCCCCUCGGCGACGUUAUGACUGGAUUUCGUCUAGGGUUUCACCAUCCUGUUUCUCGGGUUGGUGAAAGCUAAAUCGGCUUAAUCUCUACGUCGUUGGUUUUUCUGAGAGGCUUGGGAAGUUCUUUCAUUCGCAGAUUAGAAGUUGAAGUUU